rnacentral:lncRNA from 1 species
AUACUUCUGGUGCGAUGUAUCCUACAGUUCCCCUUGUCCCCAGCAUCGAUACGAUACUCUCCUUCGUUUUGCACAAUUUGGCAAGGCCAAAAUCAGCUACUUUUGGGCAAAAAUCUUUGUCCAAAAGAAUGUUCUGUGGCUUUAUGUCAAAAUGCACAAUUCUGGUGUUACAUCCGCGGUGUAAGUAUUCUAGUCCUCGGGCAAUGCCAACUGCAAUUUCAGAUAGUUUUUUCCAUUCUAAGCGAGAAUUUUCCAUUUCAGAUCCUUGCUUACGUAUGAAAUUAUCCAGAGAUCCAUUAGGCAUGAAUUCAUAAAUCAAAGCUCUUUUGUCCCUCUCAUAACAGAAUCCACAAAGAGUGACUAUGUUGACAUGGGAAGUUCUACCAAUGCUAGCAACUUCAUUAAUGAAGUCUUCUCCAUUACCCUUGGACUCACUUAGGACUUUAACUGCCACCAGAAGGCCAUCAGGUAGCUUUCCUCUGUAUACUGUGCCAUAUCCUCCUUUACCUAUUUGAUCUUUGAACCAAUGAGUCAUCUUCUUCACAUCGGAGUAACUAUACCGCUUUGGGGCCAUCCAUCUAUUAUUUGUUAUAACUUCCUGGAUGUCAAUCUCAUUCUUCUUAUAUUUCUUGAAGAAAAGCACUUCUUUUUUUGAUGCGUAUACCAUACAAACAAUGAAAACAAUGGCGGAAGUUACACCCGAUAAAAUCCCUAUAAAUUCAAAAAUAUUUUCAAGUUAUGCAUUUCAUUAUUUGUGAAAGACAAAAGCAUCUCAAUACCGUAAAGAAAUAAAAGCAAUAGAAUAAAGUGAUACUGAAAUUAAACCUGGAACAAAAUACUUGUUUCUUUAUACUUCACUCUUCUUCUUGUAUUUUUAUUUAGAGAUAUUUAGUCAUAUACUCAUUCUUAGCACUAAUGAUAUAGAUAAACCUUACACCAUUAAUCUCUAUAAACAAACCCAAAAACUGACAGUUGACCCUAUUGAAUUGAAAUUUUGAUUAUUAAAUUACUUGGAUGCCCUGUUGAGUUAUUUGAGCUUUUUUUUAUAAUGAGGUUUUAGAGUUGGGCUUGUUUUAAGAAAUAGAUGACAGUUUUAUAAUUUAUAGGAAGUUAAAAGCCUCUUUGUUAUGUUGUAAGUGAUCUUUGGAUGUAUUUUUAAAGUCCAUUUCAUAUAGGUUUUUUUAUAAUUCGGAUUCCUAUAUUGGGUUAAUAGUAAAUCUACCCUUAAUUUAUUAUAGUGAGUUAGAUGAUAGUUAAGCUCCUAGUCAUUUAAAGCAGUCAUGUAACUUUGAAAUGUAUUUUGGAGGGCUACCAUUUAAUAGUUACUGAAUCAAGGGCUAGAACGAAACAAAGGAGCCAAGCAGAGUUACCUAUCGCUAUAUUUUCUCCUGCAACAAUCACAAGAUAGAGAAAUCUUAAUCAAUAAAUGAAUAUAUAUAAUCCAUUGAUAAAAAAAUAAUAAUAAUAAUAAAAAACCUUGCCAACAGAUAUUUUUUAGUUACAUGUUAAUAAUUUCACUAAAUCUAGUCACUUGUUGCCAAAGGUUCGCAAUUUGAGAACAUGGCAUUUUUUUCUCUAUAAAUUUAUUAAAAUAUUCAUUAAUCAAUUUAAAAUCAAUAAGAAUAAUCCUGUCGUUUUAAUUUGACACUGGGACAAAGAGGAAAGCAAAGUAGGUUCGCAAAACUAAAAGAAGAGAAAGUCAAAACACUACGUAAAAAUUUCCAGAAAUUUCUAAUUUACGACGACUUACUGUUGUUAUCUUUCUAAAUCAUACCCGUAAAAUAAAAAAAGAAAAUAUAAAGUCAACAAUUCCUAGUUAGUUGUCAUUGAUGGUCACUGUUCACACUUCCAUUAUAAUUUAAUGGCAUGUGUGAAAAAUCUCCUCUCUUUAUAAUUUAAACUAUUAUUUAUAUAUUAAAAAAAAAAAGAAUUAUUAUUAUUUGUACUAAAAAAUUAUAAAAUGAAGAAAAAAAUUUAAACUUGAAGUACGUAUACUAUUGAUAUUGAAUAUGGUACCUGACAUGACACAAACCCGAUCCCCACAAAAGCAAACGGGCUUGCUCGAAUGGGAGUCAAACCCACAGCCCCCAUUUACUUCAAGACAUUUAGCGCAUUCAUCAUCAUAAGGGUGGGUAUAGUUAACAUUAAAGCCUUCCAUGAUCGCUUCCUGAAACAGCGACCUAUUGGCAAAGAGCUUCGCAGCCGCGGUUUUGAGAAUCGGCACUGUAGUUUCAAUCUUACACUUGACACCGCUCAUAAUCUGGUCGAUCGGGAUCGUCCAGAUCAAGUAAUAAGAGUCUUUGAAAGACAGAUUGACGUUGCAGGGAAACCAAUUCUCGGGCUUGGGGGUAAUAGUAGAGGAAUUACAGCCGUAGAAAAUGGACACCACCGCGUUGUCGUUCUCAUUGUAGGCGAAGAACUCGGAUUUGAUAGUUGCGUUGGCGAGUUUGUCUGUGCAUGUCGAGUUCCAGAGGUCUGAGCGGACUAACCUUAGACUUUUGUGAACUGGGUCGAGUUCGAGAACUCGGUACCUCAGCGACAUGAUGGUCAGCUCAGGCGAGUCGUCCACGCAGCUGAUGUGGAACUCCGGUGGACCACAAUGGGCAGGGCGCGCCCCACCAGUGAACGGGAAUGAGAGGCCUUGGAGCGGGCCACAGGCGAAAGUCUGGGAGCAGACGGAAGGGGUUUCCUUUGGCUGGAUUUCUUUAGCCUGUGUGUCCUUAGACGAAAAGGGUGUCGCGGCGUCCACGGAGUAGAAGAAGAAGAGGAGAAGGAGGAGGGUGAGGAUGGGAGAGAGGAGGAUUGGGUGCAUUUUGGACGGGGGUGGGAGUGUUGUGGGCUUGUUGGUAAAUGCCAAUAGAGAUUAAAUACAGGUUUGAUGAAGAACGCGUUGAUUAACUACAACUUGACUUGUGGUCUUGGACUGUCGUCGGUCGUCUCUGUUCUUUUUAUGUGGUUAUAAACUUACGAAGUCUUCCCAGUUUUAUUUGUGGAGUUUUAUUCGUUAAAGCAUCCGCGUGGGGCUCUCUAAUGGGACAAAAGCUUGCAAUUUAUAUUCAUUUAGCAGCAUGAAGGUAAAUAACAAGUUGUCUGUAGUGAAGAAAUUGUUGGAGGAAGAAUAUAGGAAAUAUGAAUUUAAAGAUAAUAAUACUUUUCAAUAAAACUGUAAUUAUCAAAUACAAUAAUAAAUUUACAUGAAAUUAAUGUAAAUUAACAAAUACAAAUAGAAAAUACUGACAACUUUAGCGAUUGUGGCUUGUAAGAAUUGCAAUGUCCUAAAGAUAGAUUUCGCCCCUGCUCUUGUGCCCACAAUUUUAUAGGCGUCUAUCUCCUAAGAUUCAACAAUUGAUAAUCAUAAAUUGAAGUACUUCAAUUUAUGACUCUGGUGAAUGAUAAGUGCAUUAUUUCCUAUAUUUGUAUAUCUCUUAUAUUUAGUUUUUGUAGGGAAAGUUAAUUAAAAAUAGCAUUAUUACCUUACUUUCCUUAUUUUCAGCUAUUAUGCGCUCUUGGAAGGGUUUUGACUGAAAAUCGACUUUUCGAAUGAAUUUUAGCACAAGGCCAAUGGGAGGAGAAGAAAUCUAUGACAUUGAGGAUCAUUGUGUCAAAGUUUCAUAAUUUUCUACCAAGCCAAAUGCUCAAGACUAGCAAGUCAACACAACCUAAGUUGAAAUCUAGUCAAAAUUGCACUACUGUGGAAGGUUGAAGAUUUGAAGAAAUUUCCGAUUUUUUCUAGUGGCGUAUGAUAUAUGCUUGGAAAGCUUAGAGAUCAAGCUAAAGUUCUCAUAUUUUUGCAGAAUUUUCUAGGAAAUGGAAAGACCCAAAAAUAUGCAUGCCAGUUGGCUGAUGUGCUUCCAGGACAAAGAAUGAUUCUUUCCUAGUUUGUUUCCUUAAUUGUUUGGGAUUUUGUUUUGCUUUAGAAGAGUUUUUCCAGACCUUUUUAGAGUAGGGUUUAGUUUUUAAAACUAUAUAAGGUCAACCUAAGCUCUCUCUCUAUGGACCAUCUUGAUACCAUAUACUUUUCCAACAUAUUUCAAUACACCCACAAAUAUAUGAGAGAGAGAGAGAGAGAGAGUCGCGAGUUGUUGCCAUGGUGCUUAUGAAGGUGUUGCUGUGGAAAAUCAGAGAUCAAAUCCAUCUGCCAAAUCGGUUUUAUGACAACAAUUUUUUUAUUUAUCUUCUCUUUUGUCAUGAACUAAUUUGCCUUACUAGGACUAUGUAGCCUAUAACCAUGAAUACUUAAUUUUAUAGAAGAGAAAGAUCUGAUAUGAAUCUAACUUCAUUAGAUUAGUCUCUCCUUCGUAUCCCUCUAUUAGACAAUUGUUUAUGCAUUUAUAAAUGCUAUAAACAAUAAAAUUAGCCUUGGGAAUUGAUAAUCGGUGUUUGAUAAAAAGUGUAAUAAAGUAAUUAAAAAUUCACCCAACAUAAUCUCACUCUUAUUUACAAAUAAGAGUUUUUAUUGUUUAAUUGAGUACGACCCAUUCAAGAUAAAAAUAUCUCUUAAUUAUAAUCUCUUUGGAAAGAGAAAACCCUUUGAUUCCAAUAUGAAGACUGAAAUAAAUAAGGGAAUUUACUUGAUGUUACAGCUGCAUCCAGUGAACCCUAGACUGCCUACAUACCCCAUUUUGGGGAUCAAGCCUUUUGUAGUUCUCACAUAAUUUGAUUGGACUUUCAAGGAAUGAAUGACCCCUUGAAAGAAUUUGUGGUAUGAGAAAUAUUUUAUGAAAUUUGGAUGAAUGUGGUUGGACCAGGGAUUCAAUUUGAUUUUGUGGUUGGAAAAGUGUUUGGGGCAAAUUUGGUUAAGGACACCAGGGAUUCUGUUUGGGCUUGCGGUCGUAUCUGGAUUGAAUUUCCAAAUUGCCUACGUAUCCUUGGCGGAAUCAAACCGGACGUAGUUCAGAAAAUUUUGUUGGACUUUCAAAGAAUAAAUGACCCUUUGAAAGAAUUUGUAUAUUUGAGAGAUUUGAAUUUGAUCUCAUUCAAAUUUGCAGGGUAGAUGACCCAUGAGAAAAUUUGGAAUGGUUUUGUACCAUCUUUAUUGUUAAUGUCCAAAGAAAAUUAAAAGGCAUUUUAAAGAGCCCAUUAAUUUACUCACAUAUGGUUUUUAAGGAUUAAUCCAUGAACCACAUAAUUUAUUUGGACCACCUAUAAAAUAUUUUGGGCUUUUGAGAGUUAAUGGGUAAUUUGUUUUGUCAACCCAUCAAUUUGUUUUCAGGUCUUGACAUUUCCAUUAGUAGGCCCAUAAACAAAAAGCCCACAUCAGAGAGGCUUUGAGAGCCAGCUGCAUUUGAAACCGAUAUCUAUUUGGAGUAGUAGAGAUUAAUCCAAACUGAGUCACUCCCAUCUUUAUCUGGAGUAGUUCAAAUCAAUUCAAACUAGACCAAAUUAUAUAUAUAUAUAUAUAUAUAUCUCUUCAACUACUCAUCUGUCACAAUCAAUACGAAACCUUGAGUCUGAGAUGCAAAAACCAAGGCAAGACCUUUCCUUGGCUCAUGUUUGUCAAAGCAGACCAUGUAGUCCACUAAAAAUGAAUUGAAAGUCAUCCCAGGCGUCAUUCACUUUGCUUUGGCAGGUUUCUUUUAUUUUUUGUCUUAUUCCCCUCUCUUUGCUUUUCGUUUAUUUUCUUCUUAUUUGUUUUUCGUCACUUUUCUCUUUUAGCUUCUGGGACUUCUUCAACUUUUAGGCUUCCUUGUCUUUGGCUUAUUUUGCUUUUGGAUUCUUCAACGGUCGCAACACAAGAGGCUUAUUGGUGAGCCAUUUUUCUUUUGCUUUUAGCUUGCUGAUGCUUUGUGCAUCCUUUUCUUUCCAAUUUGAUUGGAAUUUCUAAGGCUUUGCAUAUUUUCCUUUGAAGACUCACAUCAUUUGAGAGGGCCAUCAUACUGCCCAUUGAGGUGCUGGUUUUGCUUUGUCUUAGUUGCUUCAUGUUUUGCCAGCAACAAAGUGAGAACCUUUUGCAAUUUGCUGCAGAGGAGUGCUGGCUUAGUAAUUUUCGUGACCUGUCUGACUUGGUGAAAGGACCCGCCCCGAGUUUUUCAGAACCCGAGGCGAACCCUUUGGAAUUCCCGGCAUCAUCCCGAUGCCAGACCCACUUACUAAAGAUCGAGACUUUCUGCCAAAAUUUCGGCAGAGUCUCCUCUAUAAUUUGGACAUUUCCCAAAAUUUUAACCUGCAUAAAAACGUAUUUAAUAUCCACAACUGGCAGCAUGCACAAAAUAAUUUCAGGCAAUCCACAUAAUUCUCAAUCAACUACCAAAUAAUUCAAAUACAAAUUAUGACUAACAUUUAGUCUGCGGCUGCACCUAAUAACCUUAGGCUGCCUACGUACCCACCUUGAGGGAUCAAGCCACACGUAGUUCUUCCAUAAAACCCAAUUCCCACACUUAGGCGAUACCUUGUUUCAUUUCUCUAUAUUUCACAUAAUCUCCCCAUACGCCGGUACAACCAACGCCGCGUAUGAGGUCUGUCAACACGCCUGAUAACCUACGCCACGUGCGACCAUGCCAUACUAUUAUAAUAUCUCCCCAUACGCCGGUACAACCAACGCCACGUAUGGGGUCUGUCUCAACGCCGGAUAACCUACGCCGCGCGAGACCUGCACAUCAUAUCACAUAUCUCCCCAUACGCCGGUACAACCAACGCCACGUAUGGGGUCUGUCGACACGCCGGAUAACCUACGCCACGUGCGACCUCAACAUAAUAUCACAUAUCUCCCCAUACGCCGGUACAACCAACGCCGCGUAUGGGGUCUGUCGACACGCCGGAUAACCUACGCCACGUGCGACCUCAACAUAAUAUCACAUAUCUCCCCAUACGCCGGUACAACCAACGCCGCGUAUGGGGUCUGUCGACACGCCGGAUAACCUACGCCACGUGCCACCUCAACAUAAUAUCACAUAUCUCCCCAUACGCCGGUACAACCAACACCGCGUAUGGGGUCUGUCGACACGCCGGAUAACCUACGCCACGUGCGACCUCAACAUAAUAUCACAUAUCUCCCCAUACGCCGGUACAACCAACGCCGCGUAUGGGGUCUGUCGACACACCGGAUAACCUACGCCACAUGCGACCUCAACAUAAUAUCACAUAUCUCCCCAUAAGCCGGUACAACCAACGCCACGUAUGGGGCCUGUCUCAACGCCGGAUAACCUACGCCACGCGAGACCUGAACAUCAUAUUACAAAUCUCCCCAUACGCCGGUACAACCAACGCCACGUAUGGGGCCUGUCCGCACCCCGGAUAACCUAUGCCACGUGGGACCUAACUUUCACUUGGUGGUACUUGUAGUAAAUCCAACAUCCGGGGAGGUGCCUGAGGUAGUGCGUAUAGCACUCCAAACUACGCCACGCGAGACCUGAACAUCAUAUUACAAAUCUCCCCAUACGCCGGUACAACCAACGCCACGUAUGGGGCCUGUCCGUACCCCGGAUAACCUACGCCACGUGGGACCUAACUUUCACUUGGUGGUACUUGUAGUAAAUCCAACAUCCGGGGAGGUGCCUGAGGUAGUGCGUAUAGCACUCCAAACUGACUUUCUAGACUCUUUUGUACCCUUGUACAAGCAUAUAAAAUUAUAAUUAUAUAAAUAAUUCUAAUAUUGUGUAACCCUCCACAAUAGUCUAGCACCCGAUAAUCCCCCAUAGAAAGGUGAGAUUACUCCGGGAGACUCACGAUUAACUAAGGGUCAAACUACCCUAACCGUGGUCAAACGGACCUGAGGAGCCUACGACCUCCAUUUUCCGAUCCGAAGGUCCCUAUGGGUUUUACAAGGUAUAGGACACUCGUCCUGCAAGUUUGGUUCAGAUCGGACGGUCGGAUCGCUCACGAUCGCACGAUCUAACGGUUAAUAUAAAAUAUAAACUUUAAAAUUAUUUAUUCGGAACAUCCGGGGCUCCGAUUCACAACCGUGAAAUCCUACAUGAUCCUAGAAAUACCUAGAUCAACAUAUAUUAAAUUUGGGACCAUCCAACGGUCCCAGCCUAUCGAACCCGGAUAACGCGCAAUAUGAGAAUAUCCGUUCGAUAGUCAAACGACGUCCGAAUUGAGAUCCGCAAAAUCCUACGCACUCGUGACAACCUAAGGAUCUCAUCGGAACACAGUGCUACUUUUUCUACAGUGCCCACGCGCCGCCGCACGCGCCGGCAGUGCGUGGGUGCCCAAAGCGAUAAGGCUUCGCCGGAAAAUCUCAAAACCACGGCUCCAAAUUCCUACCCUAGGUAUAACACCCUAUUUGGAGCCACUUUUGUUCUUGGACCUACCCCAAAAACUGAACGAAAGUGACCGGAAUCGCGAUCGCAAAACCGACCGAAUUUCAAUUCGAAAAUCGAAUUAGCUACGCUAAGAAUCGAUCCAAUCCUACCUAACCAUCAGCUAGAGCAUGCAGAAGGGAUGAAUUUCCAUACCUUGAUCGCCAGAAAUGGCGGCCGGAGGAGGGAGAUCGGCGGCCGUGAAGAUCGGGCGACGUCCGGGCGAAAAUCGCCAUUUUUCGGCGGCUGGAGCGGCGGCCAAUGUCGGGGGAGGGCUGGGUCGUGACGCCGAGGCCGAGCCGGUCCUUUUGGCACCGGCCCCGUCCGCAGCCACGGCCGGUGGCCGGAGAUGCAAGGAGAGAGAGAGAAGCCAACGGGAGAGAGAGAGAGGUCGCGGGAGAGAGAGAGGGAGAGAGAGAAACCAGAUUUUAUAAAAAAAAUCCCAUUUUGAAAUAUUUACGAUUGUGCCACUGGACUUCUUUUGAUCAUAUCUCUCUCGUUACAACUCCGUUUCGAGCCCACUACAUGUCUAUGAACUCGUCUCAGUACGACCUAUCCAAAAAUACUAGUCACUACCCCAAACUCUCUCCGGUUAAAAAUAUGACCAAAAUGCCCUUAAAUAAUUAAAUAAUUUAAAUAAGGGUUAAAUUUGGGGUCGGGGUGUUACACUUGGGAUUUUUCUUUGUUGGUUAAUUUUGAAGCACAGAAAGUGGGUGUGAAUCAUUAGCUUUUGUAAGCUUUCUGGCACUCAGUAAUUUCUGCAUCUCCUUUAAUAUAUUUUCUUCUGUUUAUGCCAAUGGGUGAGACUAAAACAGAGUUAUUGAUUUUCUCCAUUUGCAGCACGUUUUGCCACCUGUUCUUUCUCCAAUCUGCAGAUUUGGAAUUUUGCUCUGCUGAAGGUGGGUUGAGCAUGUAACAAAGCGUCUGAACUGUUGAUGUUUUUUUUGUUUUUGGUACUCAAGAACACUCGCAAGGUCUUCUCUGAGUACCACAAUGUGCCUAUGGACACUCACAAGGUGUUCACAGCAUUUGUACAGUUGGGUUCUUGCAGAAGCCCAUCUGUAAUUCACAACAGAGAGAUCCUUGUGAGAGCUCUCUUUGUGUAAGUAGCAUAAUUAUUGCCAAUUUGGGAGGAUUUGUUCACAUUUUUCCCCUGCUGAAGUCUCUGUUAAUAUGAUACAUUUCUUGAUAUCAAACAUGGAGGAAGUUCAGGCUUCUGUACAAUGGCCUCACAUACAUAUUUUUUACCUGCAAGUCAGUUGUUUAUAAAGGAUACUUAAAUGAAUUUGUUUAUACCUUCUUAGUGGUAUUGUGACAGAGCUUCGUAUCUCUUUUGCUUGCUUCUACUCUUUGGAUUUCUGCAGCAGUUCUGUGUUUUUUCCUUUCUGUGUAUUUCUGCAGCAAUUUGGUGCUUUUUCUCCUCUGUCUUCUUUGCCUCCUUUAGUCCCUUUUUAUAGACUUAGAGGAACUGACAGAGUGGAGCCAGUUAUGGCCUCACGUAUUGUGUGGGUGGGAGUAACUUCCCAUUACAGUCACCCCCUCAACGUACAUGUUCUGAUACUGCUUUCAGUACGUUAAUAUUUUCUUUGUAAAAAUAUUAAUUCAUUUGGGCCUAAAACAAUUUAGCAACAAGUCCACAAAACCAUUUUAGCUAUGAGCCCAACUUCUUUAAACUUGGGUCAAUAUUUAAUUUGCUGUCAAUGAAUUUUUUUAUUUCAACAAUCGGUAAAGAUAUAUGUUGAUAUUCUGUAAAGAUUGGUAUUGAUAAUCUGUCAGAGAUUGAAGUACAAGGGACUACAUCCCUUUUCAGACUGAAGUCGGUGUGAUCUGUGGGACAAAGAAGAGGUUAAACACAGGCAUUACAAUUAGGGAAGAGGUCCCGAUAAAGGUAUUAUUCUAUGUAUAUUUGUUUUUCCUCUAUCAAUGUUGUAAUGCCAAGUCUUGAAGCCCUUGAUAUAUUCAACGAAUGAGAUUGAAGUCUUUCAUUCACAGUUCCAAUUUAUAUAUAUGUGCGUGUGCAGAUUGUCUGGCCAUAAUGAGGUUACUUCAAUGAGCAUAUUGACGCCUAAUGAGUGACACGUGACUAUAUAGUCAGUUGUUAGUUAGUUCAGCUGAAAAGAAAAACUUGGUACUAACUGUGGUUCGUGAUACUCUUCGAAGCGAAUGAAUCACAACGGCCAUCUUCGUAAUCAGAGACUCUCUAUUACUUAAACACCAAAAGUACUGUAGCAGUUGCUGAAAACAGAGAAUUCAUGAAAACAGUUUUUUCACUCUCAGUUUUCAGACAAGGGGUUCUUAGAUAUAGGUCCAUUCUCAUUAAGAUACAAUAGAUAAAGGACAUCAAUUUUAACUCCUUAAUAGCAGUCCACCAAACAAUCCAAUGGACACGUAAGCAAUGCCUUUUGUCCAUCCUUUUUAAGAUAUUUACUUCUAGUGCCAUUAAAUAGAAAAGGCAAAUAAAACCGACACCUCCCAAAGAUCUGUUUCUCUUAUAAUCAUGGUCAUUUCAUCCCAAUCUCUGCUGAUUGAUUUCUUCCUUAAUGAAGAUUUUCACGACUUCCAAAUGAGGAUUGAAUUACUUGUGUUACAGUUUGGUUUUUUUGUUUUUUUUCUUUAGGUUUGCUAUGAAGUAUUCAACUUAUCUAUAUAUAUUCUUUUUGGGUUAGGUUCAUGUGUCUAUGUGGAGGUAGUUUGAGUGUUGAAUCUGGGGUGGAAAAUACUUGACUUAGCACAUACCUACAGUGAAGGUAUGUAAGGAAAAGUUUAUUUUUCAUGUUUGUUGUUUGUAGGUAAAAUUUGAUUGUGUUUUUUUUUCUUCCCGUUUAUUAGUAUUGGUUGUGUUUUUUUUCAAGAUUACUUGCUGUUAUAGUGAAAAAGAUUAUGAACCAAACUAAGUCUAUAGGACAGGUAGAAUGUCCAACUAUACCUAUACAACAGGUUUGUAUCACAAACAUUACAUGUAGAACAAGUAUACAUGCCAGACGUUUAUGUGUUUGUAGUAAAUGUAUUUGUCCAGUAAUGGUUUAUGUAAUAUAUUUGUAGCAAUUACAUUUGCAUUUAAAUUUGACAGGUUCUUUUCCACUUGCUUUUGCCAUCCUUGAUUUUGAAAAUGGAGCUAAUUAGACAUGCUUUCUGCAAACUUUUUCCCAGCCAUGAAGAUCCUUUAAACAACAUAGUUUCACAGAAACAUUGCCCGUAGAAGUAAAAUGGCGACUACCUUCACCACAUGUAUCCUUCCCCCACACCUUACCUAUAUAUCAGGUAUACAUAUCACACCUUGUACAAUGACAAAAACCAAUAGACAAUAACAAUCAUAAAUCCAAACAAUAAAAUUACAUGGAAGACAAGUUCUGCAACUGGUGUUAAAUUGUGAAAUUCUUCCGUAAGAUUUAGGACUUCUGACCAUCGAACUAUCAUAAUAUCUGUAAUAUUCAACCAUAACCGUUCUGCAUUGAAGAAGCAAAGAAUCUGCAAAGAUUGGGUUCAAGGAAGAAUGACUGUUUGUAACGACGUGAUUUUUGGGAUAUGUUUGCGAUAUUUUCCUUUUCUAUUCAAUGACAACCGCGUUAAAUGGCUUCAGAUUAUUACGUAAAUUAUGAUUACCCAAUACAAGGUAUAAUGGAUAACAUUGGAACAAGAAAUGAUUUUGUUUGUUUGUUUUUUUUUUAUAAAAAAAGAUUACAUCAGAAAAUAUUUAAAAAUGAAUGUAAUCCUAUGUGGUACAAAAGUCAAAGGACUUGUAUCAAAGUUAUUAAAUCCGAUGAUUAAACCCAACUUCUCAAUGAAAAUUUGAAUCUAUAUCAACUUUUGUAUUCAGAUAAUGAUAACAGUCCACUAUGGUAAGUGAUAUCUUUACUUUUAGUAUUUAUAGGUCUACCCAACAUAAUUAUAACAAUAUUUUAAAAAACCCUAACAGAUUUCUUCCCUUCUAUUAUUAUUUGUGUUUGCGCAGUGCCUUCUUUCUUCUCCCUCUCAAUAACAGUCUUCUUCUUCUUCCUCCCUCUCUCUCUCUCUCUCUCUCUUCUUCUUCUUCUCUCUUUCUUCUCCCUCUCAAUCAUUGUCUUCUUCUUCUUCCUCCCUCUCUUUCUCUUUUCUUCCUCCCUCUAUCUUCUCCCUCACAGCUUGCAUGUCUUCUUCUCCAUGGGGUCGUCUCCCAUGGCUGCCAAGGCAAACAUGAGACCUCGAAGCCAUUUCCAGGGCUGCCAUGGGGCCAUCUGACACCAUUGACCCCAUGGUGGAUCCGCCACUGGUUGUAGUCAUAGAGUCUUCUGUAGCUAUUGUAGGAGAAAACAAGAAAGGUUUGGGUGCAAUUCGCAAGGAAUGAAGGGGUCCUUCCAACAUCUCUACAACUUUGCUCAUUGAUGGCCGAUCAGAAGGAAUGGUCUGAAUGCACCACAGGCUUAUUAAUACCAUCUUUCUUCCUAUUUCUUUUUCCUCCUCUGUGAUUGCCCCAAAUGCAUUUUCAUCCUUUUCUAGCUCUAGAUCUUUAUAAACAUAAUGUGGAAACAUUUCACUUGAAUGAGACACUCCCGAAUCCAAAUUAUUUUUUGCUCCAACCAUUUCAAGAACCAACAUACCGUAGCUGUAAACAUCAGAUUUGUGAGAUACUCCACCAAAGUUCCGGCUAAACACUUCUGGUGCAAUGUAUCCUGCAGUUCCUCUUGUCCCAAUCAUCGAUACAAUACUGUCCUUCGUUUUACAUAAUUUGGCAAGGCCAAAAUCAGAGAUUUUUGGGCGAAAAUCUUUGUCGAGAAGAAUGUUCUGUGGCUUUAUGUCAAAAUGCAAAAUUCUUGUGUUACAUCCACGGUGUAGGUAUUCUAGUCCUCGAGCAAUACCAACUGCAAUUUCAGAUAGUGUUUUCCAUUCUAAGAGAAAAUUUGCCAUUCCAGAUCCGUGCUUAUGUAUGAAAUUAUCCAGAGAUCCGUUAGGCAUGUAUUCAUAAAUCAAAGCUCGUUUGUCCCCCUCGUAACAGAAUCCAGAAAGAGUGACUAUGUUGACAUGGGAGGUUCUACCAAUGCUAGCAACUUCAUUAAUAAAAUCUUCUCCUCCAUUACCCUUGGACUCGCUUAGGACUUUGACCGCCACCAGAAGCCCAUCAGGUAGCCUGCCUUUGUACACAGUUCCAUAUCCACCUUUACCUAUUUUGUCUCUGAAAGAGUCUGUCAUUUUCUUGACAUUUUCAUAGGUAUACCGCUUUGGAGUAAGCGAUCCAUAGUUCCUUAUAAAAGCCUCAACAUCAAACUCAUCCCUCUUCUCUUUCUGGACGAAUGAGACCAUUCUUCCGCUUGAUACGUGCGGGAGCGAUUUUCGGACAUUUUGCUUCCACCAUAUGCAUAUACUACAAAGAAUGAUUACCAUCACGUAAAAUCCAGUAGCCAAACCUGCAACAAAAUACCUGAUUUGUUGGAUUUUUAUUUUAUGUAGUUAUUAGUUAAGCUCCUAGUCAUUUUAAACAGUCAUUUAAGUUCUAAAACCACUUUGGAGGGCUACCAUUUUAACAGUCAAUCAAGAACUACAACGAAAACAAGUAACGAAGCAGUUACUAGUAUAAAUACUGUUUUAAAGAAGUGAAAUAUUACCCAUUGCGAGAUCCUUCUUUUUUCCUGAAACAGCCAUAAGAUAGAGAAAUGUUAAUCAAUUGUUAAAAACCUCAAUUGCAACAAAGAUAUUUGGUAGAUUACAUCAACAAAAACUACCUUUUUUGUCACUUCUUAUUUGCCUUAAAUUUGGUCAUUGUGUCGCUAAUUUUACUCAAUUGAGUCAAUUUUUUGUCACUGGUUAGUUUUUUUAUGUUCAAUACUUCAAGAAUAAGACUUAGGUCAAUGAAAAUUUUGGUGACCACAAAAACGCGGGACCCGCCAGUGAACGGGUAAGAGAGGUUUCGAAGCGGGCCGCAGUCGAAGGCCCGGGAGCAGUUGGAGAGGUUUGCAUUCGAGGGAAACGACUUCGUAACCUCGAAGGAUUAGAAGAAGAAGAGGAGGAGGAGGAGGAAGAGUGGAAGCAUUGGGGAAGGGGCGGGAAAACGACGAAGUUUGGGUGUGGGGUGGGCGAGGCGGGAAGUGGCUUAGAGAGUUGAGUGAUGAAAUGCAAUGAGGUUUUGGUUUGACAGUGCACACUGCUUUUGAAUAUUUUGGAGGCUGCUGACCAAAUAUGUUAUCUUUUUUACCUUAAUGAGUUUUUUCUGUUCAAUAAUUUAUGGGUAUUUUCGUAAUUCAAGGAAUUAAAAUGAUUAUUUAUUAUUUAUUUAUUAGAGUCCUGGUAUUUUCUUAUUUUCGUAAGACUCCUGGUCAACUUCAAAGGUAUAGUCAAACAGCGUGAGCUCCAAACUAGCAAUUUUUCGAAAGGGUAGUUGAUGAAUUGGAGGAGGGCUUUGAAUGUGAAAAGAAGAAAAUCUCAUACAAUUUUUGGGCAUGUUUUUCUUAGGCAGAAAACUUCUACUACCCCCCAACUUUUUCUCGGGUAAAUAUACUUUUUCUCGGGUAAAUAUAUCAAAUCAUAGAGCAACUUUUCCCAAGGCAGAAAUUAUUAUAUCUUACUUUCGUUUGAAGAUUCUUUAAUAUUUUUUAAAGAUUUUUUUGUUCGAAGGGAUGAUAAUAUGCUAAACUCACACACUACACGGAUAUCAGAACUCGAAUCCAGAAUGUUUCUUCGAGUAGCAAUUACUCUAAACCACUACAUUAGUGUAAUCUUAGCUAAAAAUUCCUAAUUUCAAUACAUGAAUUAUGUACAAAGUAUUCAUGAUAGCACAUGAAAAUGGAACAAGACAUUUUCAGUCCCUACAAUAUAUUUAAUAUAAAAAAAAGCACAACCAACGCGCACAUGAAAUGAAAGCUUUGUUUUAUUGACAAACUAUAGCUAUUAUAAAGGUAAUAUUAUGAAAGAACAAUCUUGAUCAAGAAUUCAUUAAAUGGACCUACCACCUUUUAAUAGUUUAAUGCAUGAAACAUGCAUGCUUGUGUGAUUUCAUUCAACAAACGUCAAACACGGGAAUUUUCUGUGCGUUGUGACUAGUCCAAAAGCUAGACAAAUUCAUACAAGUUUCUAAAUUCAGAUAAGGUCAUUCUAGUAAAUGUCAUAGCAGCCUAGAUAACUCAGAAGUCAGAACAUAUGAAGCAUAACACGUGGUAUGAAUCAUUUGGUUUUGUUUUGGCAUGGAAAUGGCCAGCCUGGCUAAUGGGGAAGAUGAUAUUAAAAGACCAGAAGAACCCAACUUGAAGUUUCCAAUGGAAUGCCGCACGGGUUUUCCAUGCCCAUGUGAAAGGAAUUUGGAUGGAAUAGGAGUAGGAGUAAUGUUUGGUGUAGGUGAAAGUUUAGGAGAGCACAUAGUUCAUACCACAUUAUAAUCAUAAAAGAGAAUUGCAAGCAGGAACACAUAAUUUGACAUCACUGAACUUUAGGAUAGAGAAUUAAGCAAAACAAUAAGGUUGUAAAAUCUAGUCCCAUAGAGUUGUGCUCCGAUUGAAUGUUGGACAUUCGUGGAGUUCUCUAAACAUGAGACGACACACUUAAUCAUUUUUAAUGGAAUUAUUAGUUGUGUUUAGUUCCAAUGACCAGACGGGAUGUAGAGGUAUAAAGUGAAGAAGCUUAACAAAGAAUCAUUCAAAUCUAUAAUAUUGGAAUUGUGUAGCUCCACACAAGCUAUAGGUGUGGUUUGGUAUUAAAUAUACUGAUGCCUUCUGUGAAUUUGUACUAGAAGAUGCAGCAGGAGCUGCAAAAGAACUCAAUCUUGCACAAAUCUUGCACCCAUCUAAGAAAAUUCUAUUUGUCUAUCAAAACUAAUUUCAUCAUCUUCUGAGACCCCACUCAAAAAAACAAUCUUGCUUUGGCCCCUCACUUGUUUCUAGACCAGACUAUAUACUAAAAGAAAACAGAGGAAACAAGAAGUAGUUAGCCUAAACGCUAGAUUUCUAUAUAACUCUCUAACCUGAGCCAAAGCCCUUUGGCAUCGGUUGCUAAGAAGGAGGGUUUGCCAUGGUGAAGGGAUUGAAAGUAGCAUAAAGAUUCUAAACGACCCACAUAUGACAUGUAGGUGUUUGAUAAAAAGCCCCAAAGACAAGGAAUUAAGACAAAAAAGAUUACAAGCGCAUGCAUACCUGCACAGUUUGAGGGAUGAGGUCCAUCCUUGCAAUAGCAAGUGAACUCAGCUGUAGCUGUAUUGUACCCGCACUGACCACCAGAUCCGUUACAUUGCUUACACAAGUUAUUACUUGCAUCCCAUGUCAACCCAAACCCAGAAUCAAGAACGGCAACUAGAUUGUCCUUGGUGGAAUUCGUCGCCAAAUUUUCACCCGCUGAUUGCGAAACAAGGGCAUUGACGGUCGUGUGGCACGUUCCAAAGGUACCACUAAUAUUCGUGAGCCCAGAAUUCGUGAGGUUUUGUGUGACAAAGUAAUUGAUGUAAUUGGCAGUGCUGUUUAUGCUGCAGUUGAACUGACUUGUUAGCUGAAUUUGAAGAGGAAUAUUGAGUGGGGGGCAGUCAUAGAACAGCAGUAGUUCUUGAACAUCUGAAGCAUAUUCUACAUGGUUUACUUCUAUUGUGGUGUUGCCAGGCGACACAGGACAAACGUUGUUCCAGUAGUCUGUCCUAGCGAUUCUAAGAGUACUUGCACUUUGGUUGAUAUCCAGGACUCGAUAAUCUUUUUCCUGGAAUGAGAUCACCGGGGAGUCCCCGGUGCAGUUCAACUUGAAUUCCGGGUAGCCACAAUAAUUGGGCCGGCUUGAUCCCCAAAAAGGGUAACCAAUAUUCGGAAUAUUUGCGCAUUGAAACAAAGCGCUGCAGUUGAGGUAUUGCUCAUCAUCCUCACCCAAAGAUCUUGGAAUAUACAAUAGGCAUAUAGUACUUGUGAUCACAAGGAGAAAAGAGAUCUUUUGGAAGGGAUAGAGAUUCAUUUUGAGAGAGAGAGAGAGAGAGGUAAUUAAAGUUUCAGAAAGGAAAAGAUGAAGCAAUUAUGUUCAUCAAGAUCUCACGGUGCACGUUUCAGUCAACGUCGACUUAUUGAUUGGUGAGUAAAAUAAGACUUAUCUCUUGUUUAAUAAAAGUGUCAGUGUUAUAAAAUUAAAGAGAUUGUGGAAAGAAUUUAGGGAAUUCAACGAGCAAUAGGAAUGCUGUUUUGAUGUUUUCAUUGAAUCUUUCCGUUUUGUCUUUUACAAUGAGGACGAUGCCUUAUUUUAUAGGCAAAGAUUUUGCCUCUAGUGGAUGUAUAAUUUGCUCUCAAGGAAUGAUGGCAGACAAGCAUCAUCAUGAUGUCCUUCAUUAUUUCCAAAUGUGUGGGCUCCACUCAAGACUUUACAACACUCUCCCUUGGAGACCACAAAUGGUAUGGAAUAUGCCUCGUUAAAAACCUUGCCGGUAAAUUGUUGAGAGAAUUUAGAGAAUUCAAAUAGCAAUAGGAAUGUUGUUCUGAUGUUGUCAUUGAAUCUCUCUGUUCUGUCUUUUACAAUGAGGACGAUGCCUUAUUUUAUAGGCAAAGAUUAUUGCCUCCCGUGGAUGUAUAGUUUGCUCUCAAGGAAUGAUGGCAGACAAGCUUCAUCAUGAUGUCCUUCAUUAUUUCCAAAUGUGUGGGCUCCACUCAAGACUUUACAACACUUCCCCUUGGAGACCACAAAUGGUAUGGAAUAUGCCUCGUUAAAAACCUUGCUAGUAAAAACUCAGUGGGACAAAAAACUGGUCGAAGGGAAAAAUAGUACAUAACCAUGUGUAACAUAAAAUUUUGUGUAUUUUGACACGCGUACGAUACUGCCUCGUUAAAACCUUGCCAGAAAAAACCCAGUGGGAUAAAAACCUGGACGAAGGAAAAAAAGUACAAUGUGUGAAGGUCUUUAUUGAUAGCACGCUCCCCCUGAUGCUUAGCAAAAUAUCUUUAAGCCAUACUGUUGAUCAUCUUUCUAAAUGUCAUAGUUGACGCUGCUUCUAUGAGUCAAUCUUGUAAUAUUGUUGGAUGCUCCCCUUGGGGAAUAUAUCCCCCUGAAAUCUUCAUGACUAACUUUUUCCAAUAAGCGACUAUAGAAAUUUCCAGAGUCAACGUAUCCAACAAAAUUUGGGCUAUUUGUAAGUUUACUUGAAAAGAAUAUGCCCGUAUAUGGUGUUAUGCGGAGAUAGCAUCAAAUAUACCUCACAUCUUCCCAAAGUGGUGGUGAUGGAGCUGAGCUCUAUCUGAAAAAUAUAAUAUCCAGUCCAGUAUACUUCCGAAAAAUUAUUUAAGUGCCCAAUGGAUAAUCCACAUAAAAAUACUUCAAUAGCUCCUUAGUAUAAGCAAGAAUCUCAUUGGCAUAAUGCUAGAUCUUCAAGCCAAGAUAAGUAUUUCUUGAACUCUUCAAGAGUUUUAAUGUGUUGCAAACAUAUUAUAAUUUAAUGUAUUCACUGAGGCAAUUUAUGCAUAUUAAUAUUGAGUACAUAUUUUGUGCUUCAGGCACAUGUCUACAGACUUGCUUCAUGCAAUUUCAAUCCUUCAAUGAUUUUAUUUAAGGGAUUACACUUUAUGACACAUUAUAUAGCUUUAACCCAGCUAUUUAUACAUUUUUAGGGAAUCACUUCUAGCGAUAUGCUCCGUGCAUAAUCCUUAAAGAUAACAUGUUGGUCUCCGCAAAUGUGCAAUAAGAAGAUACGAUUGCAUCUGUAAAUAUGGAGAAACCCAACAUUCCUUGUUUCUACCAGAAACAUUGUGUCAUACAAAAUGGGUAUAUUCCCUUUUGUUCCAAACACCCAAGUAUAACUUUCAAUAUUAACAUCCUUUGGGGUUCGUACUAUGAAUUUUUUCUUUUACGUUUAUUCUCAUUUGUAAUGGAAUUGCCUCUUUCCAUUUUGGCCAAUGAUAUUGUCGACAUUUAAUAAUUGAACGUGGUUCCAAUCAACACAGCCCAUUAAUGAUUUGAGUAGCUACUCCAAAACCAAAAGUUUUCAUUCAUCAAUUCAUGAUCCCACCAUCCUCAUGUGCAUGCACGUACAUUAAUUAUAAGCAUUUCUUUGCUUUUGGGUACCCAAGCCACUUCAGGGGGCUUUUAUUGUCUCUUUCCAGACGGACAUCUCUUAUAAGAUGAAUUAUGUGAGAAUGUGGAUCAUGACCUCCAAUGGAGUGUUAUUUUACAGCAGGGCGUGGAUAAUCUCCAUUUAGGGAGUUAGAACAUUUAGAACCCAUAUAUUUGCCAUGCUGCGGGCAUGCCGCAUAUUAAUACAUACAUGUCAAUUUAUUGUCCUUCUGGGACUUUAAAGCAUAUAAUUUGCUACGCACUAGGCGUGCACCAUAUCAAUAUUGACAUGUUAAAGGAUUGUCUUUCCGGGACUUCAAUCCAUAUCAUUUGCUAUGCAACAGGCGUGCAUCAUAUUGAUCACUGCUAUACCCAUGUUAUGUUCUUAUGGGAUUUUAAUCUAUGUAGUGUAUCAUUAAUGUAUUUAUCUUGCAAUCUAUGAAAUUUGCAUUAAUAAUUCAUGAAUACAUAUCAAAAUGAUAUAAGCUAUUCUUCCGGAAUGGUCAUAAUACAAGUCGCUCUUCUGGAAUGAUCUAUAAUGCAAGUCAUUCUUCUGGAAUGGUCCUUUGCAUGGCGUUCUUCUGGAACGGUCUUAUCUCCCCAUUUGGUUACCUUCAAGGAUGUUGUACAAAAUAUCGAAAUAAGAGUAUAAGUAUGAAAUAACAUAGGUAUCGCUUACAUCCUUAGGUGGGAGAGGCUUUGCUCAAAUAUCUUCCAAGCUCAUAUCAGCUCAGCAAAUACAAUGUAAUGCUUGAUGAUCUAGUUAUAUCCUGCAAGAGCAAAAUUCACAAUCUUUUGUCUCUGUAAAAAAAAAUAACCCUAACAGUUAGGAUCACUUCAUAGAUUCUUUUUUCAAAUGUUCGUUCUAAAGAAAUAAAAUCCCUUAUGAACAGAGAGUUAUUAAAAGAAAGAAAAGAUAUAAAAAUUGUGAUAUUGAUUGCAACGUAAGGUAAGCAAUCAGGUGAGGAAGCUGAUGAGAGCAAACAACAAACUUUCAUUUCUCCUAGUCUAGAAGAACCUCAGGAGAUUAUAGCAUGUGGUCGUCUUUGCAGUUCCCCGAUGUAGCGAAAACGUGAUCAGGGAUAGUCUUGCUUCCUGAAUAAAUGAUCAGAGAUAGUCUUGCUUCUCAAGCACAUCGAGUGCUCACUGAUAGGAAAAAUAAGUGGAUAUCGCAUCACUAGGUAUGGGGACAACUGAAUGUCUUCUGCAAAGAAAAUUUCGUUAGUAACACAUUUAUACAUAAAUGAUAGGAAUAGUUAGGUCCGGUGAAUCUCAAAUUAACCACAGAAAAUUUGUGAGGUUCUGGAGGUGCUUUCGAAAAAGUAGCUCCGUGAAAUCCGAAAAGCAAGAUCGGCUUUGACGAAAAUAAUACUUGAAACCUCCGAAAGUGCCGACAGACAGUAAUGGAGGCCGCGUGAAGUUUUGGAAUCUGGGAAAGAAAAAGAGAAUAUGGGGAUCCUGGAAACCGUUGCCAUAUUUCCACCUAUAGAUAUUGCCUCUGCAAGACCAGAUUAGAGUAACUGCGUUUCAACUCAACUUCCUUUCAUUUUCUGGAAAUUCAGCUUCUCUUAAAACUUUCCUUGAAACCUUCCUAAAAAUGGCUUCCUCUUCUUCUCACCCAAACCAUCUUGAUUUAAAUGUUGCUCCCAACACAACUCAUGACUCCAAAGUUUGGUGUCCAUCCUUUGUAUCCCAAAAUCGUCAUCCCACAAUUAAUGAUUCUGUGAUGAUGAAUGAUGCGACUGCUGUCAUAGUAGAAAGGAAUUUCCUUAUUCUAAUGGAUGAAAUGCUGUUAUCAGUGAGGUCUGAUGAAAAGGUUAUUGAUGACUCAAUGACUUCUAGCAUUCAGAGUGCUACUUCUGUUUCUAACAUGGCUGAUCGUUUGUGUGCUAGAGUAAACGAGGUUCAAGAGCUGACCACUGAAAAUUCGUCUCUUUAGAGAAUGCUUCAUGAGUCUCAAUAGGAGGUUGAGAAACUUAAAGAGGAAAAUAAUGCCUUGUUGAAACUGGUGAGUUCGUACUCCAUUGAUACGCUGAGAAGGCUAGACAUGCUGCAGGUUUCCAAUGAAAAGAUUCUGGGAGACCAUGAGAGGCUCAUGGCUAAGCUUAAGAGGCCCCAUUCGCUUCCUUCAGAGGCUUCCAGAACAUAAUGUAAUUUUAUAGAUUUUACAGAGCCUGCACCUUCAUUGCAGGUGGAAAAAAUCUAUUUGUUGUAUGCCUUCUUUCCUGUUAUAAUAAUUUUGCAAAUUCUUAAACUUGCACGUGUGGUUUUUACAUCUUUUCAAAAUGACGGUUUGGAACCUUGUGCCUUAUAGGUUCAAGUAACCACAUCAAAUCUCUCAAAUUUCAUAUUUCAACUCAUGUGAGCCCAGAACUUCUGGCCUGAGCUAAACACAACCUCAGAAUUUAUUCGCCCUUUUCAAAUGGACAUGAAAUAUAAAUUGAGUAAAAAUCAUGAUAAUGUUGCAAUAUAGUAGUGAAGAGCAUUAACUACUAUACCCAAAACUUCAAGUUCGGGAUCUCUCAUAUCUUUGGAUCCAUGGGCUUCCGGCCCUGAUCAUAUGAUAUAACAAAAUAUGUGGGGAGCCUCAAUUCAUCAUUUGAGGUUUAUCCUGAUAUUAUCCUUUUCACAGUGUAUUUUUAACAACCGGAUUCACAAAAUAUAUUUCUUCCUUGAGGUGUCAAUUAUAACAUAAUCGAACUUUAUUAAAUUCAUCAUUUUCUUAUGCCAAAGAAAUAUGUGGCGUACCACAAUUUGCAAUAAUACCUCAAGAGUUGUCCAUUUAAUUGUUGAAACUUUAGGUUCUCAACAUUGUUAGAUUUUGAACUUCAGGCCAAAAUCACAUAUUCUCAUGGUAUGGACAUUUUUACAAUUUUCUGUACAUAUUUCAGGACUUCAAGUCCUUACAUAAUUGUCUAUAUUUUGAGAAACUUCUGGCAUCUCAUUCAAUUGCUCAUCCAUGAGUUUAAGGAGUUGUAGGUUCCCUUUUGUAUAUGGUGACGGUUUACCCAAAAUGGUUAAUAUUUAUGUAUACGUACUAUUCAUGUAUAUGAUACUGUUCAUCAAGUCAUGAAUACGUAUAUGGUACUAUUCAUCAAGUCAUGAAUACGUAUCUAUUCAUGUGUACAGUACAUUUGCCAGUACAGUUAUUUUUUACGUGUACGGCAUAUUAACCAAUACAGUAUUAGUACAUCAUCAAGGAACUCCAGGUCCUUAUUUACAUGUCAAGGAUCAAAGAUUUUCAAGUCCAAUCUCUUGUUUACAAAUAUAGUGCCGGAGAGACUGCCCGCUCUAAUAUCAAUAUCAUCAUUAAGGAUUUUCAAGUCCUGAUGUAGUUGUAUGAUGAGGAUUAAAGAACUUCUGGUCCUGAUCUGUAUUCUGUAAAAACUCAUCAUACCGCACAAUUAAUCCAUAAAAUAAAUUGCUUGUAAAUAAAUUGCUAGUAUGGACGAUAAACCUGCACCAUACUUUAAAUAAAAGUAAAUGUGUGAUAGAGUAAAUUCAUAAAUUAAAUUGCCUCAUGUAUGGACGUUAAUCCCGCACCAUACUUUAAAUAAUAAAGUAAAUGUGCGAUAAAGUAAAUGUACUGGUAUGGGCAUUAAUUCUAUUCCAUAUUUUUAAAUAAAAAGUAGAGACAGUUAUGUGGACGAUAAAUCCGCGCCACACCUUUAAAUAAAUACUGUUGUAUGGGUAAUAAAUCUACACCAUACAGCAAAUAAAUUGUGUCGUAUGGGUAAUAAACCUACACCAUACAGUAAAAAAAUUGUAUGGCUAAUGAAUCUACACCAUACAAUAAAUAAAAUAAAUGUGGGGAUAAAACCACCACUAAAAAUAUAGGAGGUGAAACUGUCCAUUUUUAUUAAAGUAAAUGUGAGGAUAAAACCACACAAAAACAUUGGAGGUGAAACCGUUCAUAGAAUUACUAUAUAGAUAGAUUAUAUAGAAUAUAUAAUCAGGCAAGCAAAGAAAACUAGGGUAUGAUGAAUAUCACGUUUGCUUCUGCCUUUCCACCAGCACACCUGUACUAAUAUUGGUAUUAAAUAGUGUAGGAUAAUAACAAAAUAAUUGAAAGAAUAAGGGGCAGAGAGCUUUGCUUAUUUUGUUUUCUUUCGGUUGGUUUGCUGUUAUCAUCAAAAGAUGCUUUAGCACUUCCCUUGGGUCAGUGGCUGAGAAAACUGUGUGGACGAGAACAAAGGGGCCAAUAAUCUUCAGCACCCAAAGCUGGGAAAAUUCUACGGUGGGCUUGGCGCAUGGAUGCUCCCAUUGUUAUAGACCAUUGGAAGAGUAGUUGGUGAUGUGGAGUUAUCCACAUCGUUGAGUUAGUUACCAGAUAAAUUGGUUGUUGUAGGUAAAAAGAAAACAAAAACAAAAACUCUCCUUUAGUAGCAUUGGGUAGGCCUCAUCAUUUGGCCCGCGGGCUCGUGGGCUGAUGGGGGCUGGCCCGGCCCAUUAUGGACUUUGAGAUGGCUUGGCCCGCUUUGGGCCGGACUAAGCUUGGGCUUGGGUGUCUGAAGCCCGGCCCGGCCCAUAGGCUUUGCCCGAUUAAGCCCAAGAAAGCCUAGCCCGACCAGACCACAAAAGCCCCGCCCGUUAGGCCUGCAUACAUAUAUAAUUAUGUAUAAAUAAGAAUUUAGGAUUAGGAUUAUAUCACUUAAAUCACAUAUAUAAUUUGUUUCAUUUUAUUUACUUUUCUUUACUCAUUCCUAGUUUAUAAUUGGAUGAUUAGCACAUUAAUUUGUGUCAAUUAUUAAUACAAGAAUUAUAUAUAUAAAUAAGAUGAAUAACAUAUCAUAUCACCAAAUAUAAUCAUAUCACGAAACAUAAUCGUACCACCAAAUAUAAUCAUGUUUUUCUUGAACACAUCACCAAACAUUUACAUAUUUAUUUAUACCAUCCUUUUAAAAAUAUAUAUCUUUUUGAUACUUAUUAUUUUUUAAAAUUAUUUCUUAAAACGUAUUACGGUCUAAUUAUGUAAUAACCUCAAAAAUAAUACUUGGUUUUAUCAUUUUUUUGAAAAAUCUUAUUAAGUUGUGUGAUUUUAUUGGGUAGUUUAUGAAUUUGGUUUGAUGUGAAAAUAUUGGAAUUAAGUGAGUUUAAUCUCAAAUAUAGACUAAAAUGUCCUUAUGAUUAAGUUUAUGAUUUUUUUCAAAUGAAGUAGGCCCGUUUCGGCCCGGUCCGGUCCGAUGGGCUUUCUCAAUCCCGGCCUAUGGGUCGGGCUUGGGCUUUGAAUUUUCUAUAAAAAAAUCCGGCCUGACCCAGUAUUUUCUCUCUCCUCUUUAAAGCCCAGUCGACCCUACCCAAGCCCGUUAAAUUUGGACCGGGCUAGUCCGACCGGGCCCAUUGACGAGCCCUAGCAUUGGGUUUCUCUUUUCUCUCUCUUCGAGUUCGACUCCUUCCAAAAUAGCUCCUCUCCUCCUCCUGUGACAAUGAGACAGCGCGAUGAACACAACUCCUCUCCUCUCAGGUAUCCCUCUCUUUCUUCUCCCUAAUUGUCUCUCUCAUCUCUAUAUCUCAUGGUCUCUCAAUCUCCUUCCCAGGCUUCGUUUCAAAACCAAACCCAUACCAAAAAUCUCAGCCCCUAUUGAAACCCCCAUUUAGCUCGAUCCCUGCCGUCUCUCUCUCUCUCUCAAUCGUUUCAGCUUUCACUCUCCCUCCCUCACUCGAUUCUCUUUCUCUAUAGCUUUGGCUUGCUCUCUCUCUCUCUCUCUCUCUCUCUCUCUCUCUCUCUCUCUCUCUCUCUCUCUCUCUCGUUUCAGCCUUCACUCUCCCUCCCUCACUCGAUUCUCUUUAUCUAUAGCUUUGGCUUGCUCUCUCUCUCUCUCUCUCUCUCUCUCUCUCUCUCUCUCAUAUAGAUACGAGCACCAAACGUGGGUGGGCACAAAUUUGUGAGUGAUAGAAAGUUUAGGGUUUCAAUUUUGUUAAACUGAAGAUAAUGUUAAUUAUUCAGGGUUUGAGUUUUCUAAUUUAUAUUGUAAGUUUUAGGUUUUAAUAUUGGGCUAUGGUCUCUGCAGGUUUUCAACUUUUUAAUUUGUAUUUGAACCAUUAAUUUGGAGACAAGGUGAGGAUUUCAUAUUAGUGUUGAACUAGAUGUGAGAUUUGAGUAAUGUUAGUUUAAUUUUGAGUUUACUGCAUUCAUCAUUUUUUGGUUUUUAUUUUUAUUUUUCUGAGUUGGUUCUUGUGUCUACAAGUUGCAUCUUGUUUUCAUAUUUGGAUUCCUGAAUGUGCUAUGAUGUCAUUCUUAAGUCUUUUUGUUUUUUUUUUCCCUGGGGUCUGGCGUGUUGCUUUGUUUGCCUUUGUUUAGCCCGGAUUCUUCUUUUUUAUGUGGUUUUUUUGCUUUAGUUUGUAGUCUUGGUCGUGUGGGAUGGGGGUUGUGAGGAUUGCUCAUCCUCCUGUAGCCCCAUUGAUUUAUAAAUAUCAUCUUUGGAAGCUUGUUAUGAUUGAUUUUUUUCUUCUUCUUGUCAGUAUUCUACUAAACGUGUGUGAAGGUUGCCUCUUUUUUGGGGUUUUAAUGAAAGCUACAUAACAACCAAACAAUAAAAGCCUCUGUUAGUUUCCUUUUGGUCUCUCUAAUUUUUUGCUGACCUUGUGCUUUCUCUUACUAACUGACAAUUGGAUGUUCACUUGGUGUUCACUUACUAACUGACAAUUUUCUAUGAAUUGUUGCUUGAUUUUCAUUCAUCAUGUGUACAUCUACAUAGGAAGCCUUGUUUAUUACCUCCUCUCUCAUGCUUACUAUCCUAGGAUUCUCUACCCUUCAUGUAUGUGAGUUUUAAAUUUUCAUCAUUAUAUAUGUUAUUAAACAUUAGAGAUUAUUUAAGGCAUCAUCUAUUAUCUGAAUUCUGCUUAGUCUUAGUUUGAUGUGCAUUAAUUAACUCUUUAAUUCAUACAUUUACAUUUUAGCAACUUGAUGUGAUUACUGUGGCUCAUACCAAAAAGGCAAUCUUAGGCUCAUCAAGGAAAGUCGAGCUUCCAAGUAACUUACUGGAUAUUAGAUCAUUUGUUUUAUUUCCCUAUGUUAUUAACAUUUUUUAGUGCUGAAUAUUUAUUUUUAUUGGAUGUGAGAUUUGAGUUUGUUGCUUUAUAUAAUUAUUUAGCAAUUUAAUUAUUUCUUCGCACCUUUUGUUUAUGAAGCUUUAAUUUUCUUUUUCAGUCAUACUAUUCUUUUUGUACUAUCUGUUUUUUUUUUUUUUUUUUUUUUUUUUAUAUUUAGCUUGGCAUUGUAGUCGAGAUGUGGAUGUGAGUUUUUUUUGCUGAAAAGAAACCCAUUGUGAUUUGAGUUUUUUUUUUUUUUGACAGACAAGACACCCAAUAUGAUUAAUUUCAGUAUCUUUUUUUUUUUUUUUCCAUGUUAGGCAGAUUGUUGAUGUUGAAAUUUUUGUGACUCAUUUGAAAGGCAUUAGGUAGAAUUUCUUAAUUGUAAUGAUAUUAUGAGCUCUGACAUUGAGUUCAUCUUCAUCGGAGUUGUUGUAUUAUAUUGAAGUUUGAUAUAAUAUUUAGGCGUGUAAUUACCAAAUUGUAAGGGGUUUUUUGCAGUUGGUGUACGUAACUUAAAAUACAAUUGGCAACCUUUUUGCAUUUUCAGAAUGCAAUUACCAACUGACUAGUCUGUUAUUGCAAUUAGAGUAUGAUACAUUAUAUUUGUUGCCUUGCAUUUUUGUAAUGAAAAUGCAAUAGGUACUUCGGUAUGUCAUUUUUUAAUCCAAUUAGCAAUUGGUUAGUCCGUUUUUACAAUUAGUGUAUGCAUAUUGUCAUGUUAUUGGUAGCCUUUUCAAUUUGCAUAUUGUUAGAAUGUAAAUACAAUAUGUGGUUUGUUAAUGCAAUUGAUAAACAGGUAAUGUCAUUUGCAUUCCAGUCAUGCUAUUGAUAAACAAAGCAGUCUCAUUUGCAUUCCAAUCGUGCAAUUGUCAUUAUCUGUGCAUAAUUAAUUGAAAAUAUAUAUACAAUAUGUGAUUUGUUAAUGAUAUUGACAGUCAAAGUAGGCUUAUUUGCAUUCCAGUCGUGCAAUUAACAAUCAUAGUAGUCCAAUGCUUUAUAUGUUUAUUAUGAAAAUACAAAAGAAAAUUGAACUAUGCAGUUGGACAAGUUUAUUUUCCAAAAUAAACAUUUGAAUUGAUUAAGGGUAAAAUAAAUACAAGUUAAUAGAAAGUAUUACGUCAUACAGAUCCACAUAAAUAAAGGUACAAAGCAUUAGAUUUUCACAUAUUAACUUCUAGGACAAACUACAGUAAAUCCCCCAACCUAUAUGGUCAUUUACGAGUUCAAACAUGAUUUUGGAGACAUUUACGAGUACAUACUUAACGUCGCGAAAAACCUAUAAUUUGCCCCAUUUGUUAGAGAAACCGUUAGUGAAUCUGUUAAAUACUGAUGUGGCGAAUAUGAGUUUCAUUUUUUUAAUGAGGUGGACUUACAGGUGGACAAAUAAAUACUAAAAAAAUUCUAUAUUAUUUAAAAAUAAUUAUAAACGAGUAAAUAAUAUUAUUCAAUUAAAUUAAAAAGAAAACAAUUUCUCUUCGUCUCUUUCUCAUCCCAACCCCACCCCACCCCACCCAAACUGACUGCCUUUUCCCACACCCACACCGACCUACCCUCCCUUCGUGCACACCGCCGUUAAAGUCAUCGCCACUGACCUCACUGUUGUUGGAUAGAACCAAGGGCAAGAUCUCUAUCCUUAUCAACUGCCUCUUCCUCUUUCUUCCUUGGGAGACCUUACGAUCGCCAUCUUCAUUCCUCGACCUCCCAAUUAAGGAUUGAUCGUCGCUUGGGUUGGGGGUUUUCAAUUUUCCGAAUUGAUCGUCGUCGACCUCAACCAUGGUUGUCACCAGAAGAUGCGAUUUCAACUUCCAAAGGGAUCAAGUUGCAGUUCUCAAAAAACGCAGACUUCGUUUUGGGGCUUCUGAGAAACCAUGGAUUCUCUCAAACCCAGAUCUCAAAGUUUUGCAAAACUUGCCUAGAAAGUAAUGGGUUUUAAUGGGUUGCCCUUCUUUUCUUGCUUUCUGGCUUUGUUUGGAUGCUGAGAAAAUAGAUUUGAGUGUAUGUUUUGGUUGAAUGAAACAGAACAAAUGGUUUUUCUAUAAAAUUGUGAUGAAAUCCAGUCAUUUACACUCUGUGAUGUGUUUUGUAUACUCAUUCAAAUGCUUCAUUUUGGAUUUGGGUAGUGGAAUUCGAUUGAGCUGAACUUGGGGUUUUAUCCUUUUGGAAGAAACAAAGAGGUUCUCAGUGCUAGAUUCACGAAAUUUGGUUUGCACAAUAAUGAAACAGAGGGAUUAUAAGCAAUUGGGCAAGAUGAUGGCUGCAACGGAGAGAAGGGGGGUGGUGGUGUGGGGUGGGGUAGAGACGACGUGGGGGCUGGGAAGGGGUGGGCAAGGUCGUCGGGGUGGUUAGCUAGGUUGGAUAAGAGAGAUGAGAUUUUUUUUUUUUCAUUUUUAAUGAUUUUAAUAUUAUUUAAAAAUUAUUUUAAACAUGUAUAUAAUUAUUUAUUAUUUAUUUGUCCACUUGUAAGUCCACGCCAAUUAAAAAAUGGGUCCCAUAAAUGCCACAUAGGCAGAUAAUGGAUUUUCUGACGAUCUCGCAAACAGAGGGGGCAAAUUGUAGGUUUUCCGCGACGUUGAGUAUGUACUCGUAAAUGUCCCCAAAAUCAGGUAUGAACUCGUAAAUGACCCUAUAGGUUGGGGGGUUUACUGUAGUUUGUCCUAACUUUUAUUGUUAAGCUCUUUUUUGUUAAGUUAGAUCUCACUUUUAAAUGAUGAUGGGAAAUUUGUCUCUUAUUUGGCAAUUGCCAUUGAUAUAUAUAUAUAUAUAUAUAUAUAUAUAAAAGGUGCAUGUUUUACCAUCAAUUACCCUAUUUCCAUUGAUUAAAAAAAAAAAAAAAAACAAAGAGCAUGUUCUACCAUCAAUUACCCUAUUUGCUUCACUUUUGACUUCAUUUUCACAUGAUUUCAGUUCUCAUUCCCAUUCCUAAUGCUUUUGUAACCCCAAAGUGAAUAAGUAUUUUUUUGGGUACAAAAAUAAUGCGAUUUUUGGCCUUUGUAAAUAUGUUGUAAGCAUGUAUUUAAAAUAUAUUAAAAUCAAUAAAAUAAAUUUAUAAAGGGAAUGUGGGAUAUUAGAGAAGUAAAUUAGGUCCUUAUCCUUGUAAACCCAAGGAUUUACAAUAGUAAGGAAUCGUAUGCAAUUGACAAACAGUCAGUGGGAAAUUGAAACUGAAUAAUGCAAUUGACAAAUAGUAAGAUCAAAAUUGCAAUUGACAAAUAGUAAAAUGAAACAUUUGGAAGGUAAAUUAGGUCCUUAUACUGAUAAACACAAACAUUUGCAAUAUUAAGGUCUCGUAUUAUUCUAUAUUAAACAAGUGUGUUCGAUAAGAGUAUAAAACCCAUCCUUAAUAUUGUAAUAUCGUAAUUUACAAGAUAAAGACAUAUAGUACAAUAUUAAGGUAACUUGGGGCAUUAGGAAAGUAAAUUGGGUCCUUAUAUUUGUAUAAGAAUAGGGUAAGAGUGGACCUUGGUGGAAUAAAUUUGGUCUUUGUCAUUGUAAACAAGGGAGUUUACAACAUAUAGGACUUCCGUUAUAUUGUUAUGGACAGAGAGAUUCCAUAAAGUUAUAAAAGAGAUCCUUAAUAUUGUAAUAUCGUAAUUUACAAAACUCGUAAUGACCCCCAAUACAAUGUUAAGGUAAGAAUGAACGUUGGAGUAGUAAAUUGAGUCAUUAUCCUUGUAAACAAGGCGGUGGUUACAACAUUAAGGAUUCGUAUCAUAAUAAAAUGGACAUAGUCGUCCCAUUAUAUUGUAAAAGUCAUCCUUAAUCUCGUAAUACCAUAAUUUACAAUAAGAAGGAACCCUUGUAUAAGAAUGGGGUAAGAGUGGACCUUGGUGGAAUAAAUUUGGUCCUUAUUCUUGUAAACACAAUGGUUUACAGUAUUAAGGACCAAUUUUACAAUGUUUUGGACCUCCAUGUUCCAUAAACUUUGUAAAGUGUAUCCAUAAACUUGUAAUAUCAUAAAUUACAAUAAAAAGGAUCUCUAUUACAUGGUUAAGGUAAUUAUGGACCUUAGAGAUGUAAAAUUGGUACUUAUUCUUGUAAAUGCAAUGGUUAAUAACAUUAAGGAAUCGUAUUACAAUACUUUGGACGUAAGCUCUCCAUAAACUCGUAACGCUGAUCCAUAAUCUUGUACAUUACAAGAUUUGGGUUCUCAUUUGUGAUUUUUUGCACCAUGAUUACAAUUUUGAGGUUCUUCCUUAUCCAUAGCGUUGUAAUAUCCUGAUUUACAAUUGAAAGGAUCCCUCUCACUAUAAGGUAAGGGUAGACUUUGGAGAAGUAAAGGUGAUCCUUAUUGUUGUAAACACAAGGAUUUACAGUAUUAAGGACCUCGAUGAGAUUACGGAUCCACUUUACAAGUUUAUGGAAUGGUUUACUAGAAUAAGGACCCAUUUUACAUCCCUACGGUUCAUCAUUAAUUCCUUGUAAUAUGAAUCUAUAUCCUUGUAAAAAGCUGAUUUACAACAUUAUGGAUUUGGUGAACCCUAACAUUGUAAUCUAAGAGCAAAACCUUGUAAAUUGUUACCAAAACUUGUAAGUUACGAGUUUAAGGAAUUGGUAAUGGUAACUCAAUCACUUUCUUCUCAUUCAUUGCCUCAUUUAGUAUUUUGUUAUGUUACAUACUUAUAUAAAAUUUCGAGUAUUUUAGUUGAAAUUGUAUAUAUUAUAUUUAAAUAUCAUAUUUAUGUAUUAUAUUUUGAUUAUAAAGUGCAAUAUAUAUUAUUUAAGUAUUAUAUUAUUAUAUAUUCUUAUUUAACAUUUUUUUUAUCGGAACAUGAACCAAUUAUAUUACGAAGAUAUGAACAAAAAAACAGAGACGGGUCAUAAGGGAAAUUUUUGUUGGUAGAUGCUAUAAGUCAUCUUUUGUUAUAAGACAUUUGUUUAAAGUUAUUUUUAGAAUAAGUACGAAUACAUAUAUAUUUUUAUAUAAUAAUAUGUCAUCUUGAGAAGUAAUUAUAAUAUGGCUUCAAAGUAUGGUCAUAAAAUAUUUAUUAUAAUAUAAGUGGAUAUUUAUUGAUAUUAUGUCUUAAAAGUUGAAUAUGUUAUCAGUGAUUGAUAUUAAACACGUAAACAAGUUAUACUAUAUAGUAGUAUUUUAGUUCCUUAUAGUAAUUUAUUCACAUUUAAGAAAUAACAAAACAAAAAGAAUAGUUUAGAUGUUCAAAAAUUAUUUUUGGUUACAAGUAAAAAAAAAAAAAAAAACUAUUUCAGUUUGGACAAUUGGAUUUAUAUAAAGUUACCCAAUUGAUUUUGGUUACAAGUUAUAUAAAGCAACCCCUAACUCAUGAAUCCUGAAAAAAUUUGCAAAUGUCGUGAAAUAAUUGUAACAACAUUAUGGUUAACCCUAAUCCAUAACAUUGUAAUACCCUAAUUUACAAAGAAAAUGACACAUAGUACCAAUAUAAGAAUGGACUUGGAGGAGUAAAAUUAUGUCAUUAUCCUUGUAAACACCACUGAAAAUCUUGUAAUCUAAGAGAAAACUUGUAGACUUUCUACUUUUAUACUUAUUUUUCUUGACUUUUAAUCCUAACCAUGUACUAUAAAAUCCAUGGCCAUGUUAGGAAAAGAAUAUAAAUUUAUAAUACUUCGUGGAUAUCUACAAAAGUACAACCAUAACAAGUAAUCUAGUUCUUAUUUUAGAAAUUGAUUUCAACCAAUUAUAUAGACAAAACUUGAGGUGAAAAAAUUUGAUGGAUAAAGCCUUUCAAGCUCUCAAAUAAAUGUUGAUGCGCAUUCACCAAUUCUAUGAAACAAAAGAAACAAAAAAUUAAAACUAUCAACCUCAAUUGAUUUUUAAAAAGUAGCAUAAAAUGUAGAGAAAUUAACCAUAACUAGCCAUCAUUAUUCAUAUAAAUAAAAUCAGCAAAUCAUAAUGAACUUGAGUAAAGCUACAAUGAGGUGACACAACGAAAUCAGCAAAAAAAAAGAAGUCAAAUAGUUCUCAUAAAAAAAGAGUGUCUAAAACGGUAAGUUUAGAUUUAUAGAAGUAAACAAAUACCAUUGCGAAAUUCAUAAGCAUGUCAUCGCAAGUUAAAAAGAAUAAACUCAAUUGAAAAUAACAUGUCAAAUUAUAUGCCAAUUGCCAAACAGGAAAGACAUAAUUGCAUAAUCCUUGUGCAAUUGCAUUUACAUUAAAUAUUAACAAAAUGUGAAAACUUGACAACUUGUAUAACCGGUAACCAAUAUUUUAAAAAUUCUAGACUUAUCAUAAAGGACAAAUGGUGCAUGGGUGCACUAUAGAAGGUGCCUCAAAGCUGUGCCCUUGCUGUAGCCAAUAUAUAAACUAUUAAAUCUGCCCACCAAAACCAAUCAUAUAAUAAUAUAAUAUAUAAAGUACAGUCCCGAUCUCUUGGACCACAGGAGUCCAAGAGAUUGUGGUCACCCACCGUUGGAUAUUAAUCCAAUGGUUCAAAAUGAUAUAUAUAAAUGCAAUAUGACAUAAAUGAUUAUUACCCGAUUCAAGUCAACCGUUGAAUUUACAUCCAACGGUGGGUGACCAUAAAUCUCUUGGACUACAGGGGUCCAAGAGAUCAGGACUGAUAUAAAGUAACCAAAAGCAAACAAGAAGCGAUUGAUAAGGAUAUGGUUGUCCAUGCUCCCGGUUGCUUGCUUAUCUCCACUAAUCUCUGAGUCCGAGUCCUCUUGCUCAUCGCCAAAAAAAUAUCCAAAAGCAUGAACUCUACAGGUAAAGGGAUUUGAAGUUAGCAGGCUUGGUAAAGUAAUUGCAACAAAGAGGUCUCUGGCAACUGAAAUCUGGUCUCUUGGGAUCUCUUUUGGCUUCGCAGGCGCAUCAAUACAUGAGCUCGAAGAAGUUGCCGAUUCUGGAAGAGCGACCAGGGCCGCCUCGAAGCCAACUGAGCAGUGGGGUUCGAGAGAGAUCGGGUGAGAUUGUGAGGUUCUGAGCUUCAUGGAAAGUGUAGAAAAUUGUAGAGCCUGUGGUGGGAUUGACUUGUUUUGUUGGGUUUGUGUUUUGAAGCUAUAGAGAGUGACACAGAAGAUAUUGAUACACAGAAAAGCAUGAGCAGCUCAAUCAAAUCCAAGAAAGAAAAACAAUGAAGCAGAGUGUUUUGAUCGAAUAUCCCAGCUGGUAUUUUAGAGAUAUUCGUGCUGAUAACGUAUUAUAAAACUAAAGAGAUUGUGGAGAGAAUUUAAAGAAUUCAAAUAGCAAUAGGAAUGUUGUUAUGAUGUUUUUAUUGAAUCUUUCCGUUCAGUCUUUUACUAAGAGGAGGAUGCCUUAUUUUAUAAGCAAAGAUUAUUGCCUCCCGUGGUUGUAUAGUUUGCUCUCAGGGAAUGAUGGCAGACAAGUUUCAUCAUGAUGUCCUUUAUUAUUUCCAAAUGUGUGGGCUCCACUCAAGACUUUACAACGGCCAAAAAUAUUUCUUUUUCUUCUUAACAUGGAAUUAACAGGCAACUGGUCAAUUGUCGACAUUAAAAUGAAGGGAUUUGCUUCUUAUUUGUAUAAUUGACUUAUUAUUGUAUAAUAGAGUUUUAUUUAAAUACACUGAAGAGGAAUGAAUUAUUGAGAAAUUUCCCCAAAUAUUUUAGCACAAUAUUAGAACGACCAUCAUAAGUCAUCUCAAAAUCUCUUUUCUUUUUCCUCAAAUUGUUUUCAAACUCUAAAUUUAUACUCAUACAAAAACCCAAAUCAUAUUCAAACAUCAUAGUUUACCUGUAUCCUUCCCAAAGCAUAUAUAUCCCAAAACAAAUUCCGCUACAAUGUCAAAUUCAAUUGAAACCCCUACCUUAUAACUGCUUGCAACUCCACACCAUUCAGAAUGACAAUUUUGGGUUGACUGCUGAAAUCAUGUGGAAUGAGACCAACUAUAGUCUUUAGUCUGAAGUCAUGGAGAUGCGAAUUGCCAGGCGAGAAAAAUAUAGGUACCUGACUAGUGUCAUGCCCCAAAUAUAGGUAUUUGUCUACAGUUGUUAGACCAGACACGUAUUUGAACUUUUGACACACAGGUAACUUAGCACACUAUAUAAUCUUUGUUCUUGUUUUCUUUUCAUUCAGAGUUGCAGGAGACGAAUGUAGAACAUAAACUAAGUAUAUCAGAAGACAGAACUACUGGUUCGAACCAAACGUUGAAAAAGAUUUGAGCUAUGAACACCAAGCUUACCAUUUGAAAGGUUAUUAAGCAUAGAAUAUUCUUGAGAUGCAAUAUUCAAACAAUAUGAUAAUAAUGAUGCUGAUUUAUAUUACAUGUUUUUCUUUUUUGGAUUAUGAAAAGAUUAUACAUGUUCUCCAUCUUAAAAUUGAAAAUCAACACUUAUAUACCGAUAUAUCUUAAGCUUACACGCAAAGGCUUUGAUGUGGUUAUAGAGUCUUCUGUUUCAGGUGGUUGAGAUGUGGUCAUAGAGUCUUCUGCAGCUAUUGUAGGAGAAACCAACAAAGGCUUUGGUGCAAUUUGCAAGGAAUGAAGGGGUCCUUCCAGCAUCUCUACCACUUUGCUCAUUGAUGGCCGAUCAUCAGGAUUGGUCUGAAUGCACCAGAGACUUGUUAAUACCAUCUUUCUUGCUAUUUCUUUUUCCCCCUCUGUGGUUGCCCCAAAAACAUUAUCAUCCUUGUCUAGCUCAAGAUCUUUAUAAACGUAAUGCGGAAACAUUUCACUCGUAUGAGACACUGCCGAAUCCAAAUUCUUUCUUGCUCCAACCAUUUCAAGAACCAACAUCCCGUAGCUGUAAACAUCACAUUUGUGAGAUACGCCUCCGAAGUUCCAGCUAAAUACUUCUGGUGUGAUGUAUCCUGCAGUUCCCCUUGUCCCCAGCAUCGAUACGAUACGCUCCUUCUUUUUGCACAAUUUGGCAAGGCCAAAAUCUGCUACUUUUGGGCAAAACUCUUUGUCCAAAAGAAUGUUCUGUGGCUAAGGUCAAAAUGCACAAUUCUUGUGUUACAUCCACGGUGUAAGUAUUCUAGUCCUCGGGCAAUGCCGACUGCAAUUUCAGAUAGUUUUUUCCAUUCUAAGCGAGAAUUUGCCAUUUCAGAUCCUUGCUUACGUAUGAAAUUA